rnacentral:lncRNA from 1 species
UUGCCCCUGCCAUGGUGUCUUUUUCGCUUGACAACUGUUACUGUUGUCCUCUUUUCUUCUUACUCAAAUGUUUUGAGUUUGUGCCUGUGGAGGUGUUGGCAUAGGCGUCGUUACUGGUUUUUCUCUCGACAUAUCACAGAACAUCCUAUCGUACUGAGUAACGAUCAUUAUUCCCUACUUUAGAUUGUAAAAUCCACUUUUCUUCUUCUUGCGAUAGCUUUGGGGUAUAUACUUAUCAUAUAUUUCUGUUUAGAAUGAUCCCGCGUAAAAUUUUCUAAUUGUUCAACUGUCAUCAUUUUUCUCUGUGCUUUCCUUCCUGGUCUGUAAAACGCAAAUGAAAUUGAAAAUGCACUCAAUAGCUCUUACCCAAGUCUCAGCUUUUGCUGGAUCUCAUGUCCUACUGAAGGCAGGUGAGUUUUGUCAUGAAAUAGUUCAUCUAUUCUAUGUUCUAGUUGUAUGGGUGAUGGGUUAUUUUUUUUUUUUUUUUUUUUUUUUUUAGCCCUAGUACUUUCAUUACCUUAGGGAAUUCUUCUCCCUCUUCUUGGAUGCCCUUGUUUUGGUGGCAUACUAAUGAGUCGACAUACAAUCAUCAAAACAUACAGUUGUAUAUCAUCACUUCUGUAAACCAUUUCUUGAUUCUCAAAUCUUGCUCACACUCUUUCUCAUGAAAGUAUAUAAAUAACAUAGCGGAAGUGACUUGCCGCAAAAGACUGAUAGGGUCGCUACAUAGACAUGGAAAAAUUAGUAUCAAUGAGGACUAUUUCAUCAACAUUUGAAUAUAGAUAUGGUGAUCUAUCCAAGCAUUAUACAUGAUGAACUGGCUAUCUUGCAAGGUCAUCAUGAAAGGGCUCAGUUCCGAAAUGCCCUAUGAACCA